AGUGAACGCUGGCGGUAGGCCUAACACAUGCAAGUCGAACGGCAGCACAGGAGAGCUUGCUCUCUGGGUGGCGAGUGGCGGACGGGUGAGGAAUACAUAGGAAUCUACUUUUUCGUGGGGGAUAACGUAGGGAAACUUACGCUAAUACCGCAUACGACCUACGGGUGAAAGCAGGGGACCUUCGGGCCUUGCGCGAUUGAAUGAGCCGAUGUCGGAUUAGCUAGUUGGCGGGGUAAAGGCCCACCAAGGCGACGAUCCGUAGCUGGUCUGAGAGGAUGAUCAGCCACACUGGAACUGAGACACGGUCCAGACUCCUACGGGAGGCAGCAGUGGGGAAUAUUAGACAAUGGGCGCAAGCCUGAUCCAGCCAUACCGCGUGGGUGAAGAAGGCCUUCGGGUUGUAAAGCCCUUUUGUUGGGAAAGAAAUCCAGCUGGCUAAUACCCGGUUGGGAUGACGGUACCCAAAGAAUAAGCACCGGCUAACUUCGUGCCAGCCGCCGCGGUAA
rnacentral:rRNA from 1 species